AAGUCGUAACAAGGUUUCCGUAGGUGAACCUGCGGAAGGAUCAUUAUUGAAUUCAAAUCAUCUGUGGCUUCGGUCCGGAUGUGCCAACAGAUAACACUGUUGGUAAUUCUAUCCAUAACACCUGUGAACUGUUGGAUGCUUGCAUCCACUUUUAUACUAAACAUUAUUGUAACAAAUGUAGUCUUAUUAUAACUAAUAAAACUUUUAACAACGGAUCUCUUGGCUCUCG
rnacentral:misc_RNA from 1 species